CCAGCGAAAUUACAGGGAAUUCGUGGUCACGGGACCGGCCUCCGCCAAUCGCUCGUCUGGGCCUGGUGGAAAACAGAGAGCAUUAUUUGGUUUAAUUGAUUCAAAAACACCAGAGGACCACGACCAGGACACCAUGAGCCCCCAUUCCUACACCAGUGCCUCACAUGCUCUCUCCCCAAUGCCUCCGUUUCUCCAGAAAAGCUAGAGGAACCUUUUCCUCAUCCCCUUCGAAGGAAAAGAUGAGUGAGGAUCUCCGCGUUGGAGGAAGAGGGAGUCGAAAGAGGCUUCCACUCUUUGAAAAAGACCCAAUGGUGGUUGGGCUUCGGGUCACGUGACACCUUCUUUGUGGCUCCGGAAGAGGAUUGUGAAGUUUAGGUUUCGUGGAAGAAACCGAUAAUUGAGGAAAAAAAAAAAUCAAGAUUUGGGGGGAAUUACCUACAAAGAUGUAAGGUGUGUUAAUUUGGGCGCUUCUUGGAUUCUACCCUGAGGAGGAGGCGCGUGCUCCACCAGCUGCGCGCUCGUGUACGCCGUCCGCGCCCGCUUGGACGCCGCCGACCCCGGGGGGCUCUUGUCCCCUCCCCCGCCGCCGCCGCCACCGCCCCCGCUGCCACCACUGCCUCCGCCGCCGCCGCCACCGCCGCCGCCACCACAGCCCUCUGCUGGAUCCGAGGGGGAGGGGUGGGAAGGGGAGAAAAUGAAAUAAAAGAUAAUUACUGAACACGCCGAAAUUGAAUGCAUCGUUUCUUAAUAAAUCCAGGCCUGGACUCAGAGCCCCCGCCGCCCUCCCCUUCGGGUCCCCGCCGCCUCCUCACUCCCCCACCCCACCGCCCGUCGCAUUAGCGGACACUCUAUAAUAGUGGCAUUUAUUAAGAGACC
rnacentral:lncRNA from 1 species